rnacentral:tRNA from 1 species
CGGUGCUGGCCAAGGCGGUCGCCGCCCGGCUGAUCACCGGGCUGGCCGACGCGCUGGCCGCCAAGGGCUCGGCGCACCUGGUGCUGACC